AUUGAACGCUGGCGGCAGGCCUAACACAUGCAAGUCGAACGAGCGGCGGACGGGUGAGUAAUGUCUGGGAAACUGCCCGAUGGAGGGGGAUAACUACUGGAAACGGUAGCUAAUACCGCAUACUAUCGGAUGUGCCCAUAUGGGAUUAGCUAGUAGGUGGGGUAACGGCUCACCUAGGCGACGAUCCCUAGCUGGUCUGAGAGGAUGACCAGCCACACUGGGACUGAGACACGGGCCAGACUCCUACGGGAGGCAGCAGUGGGGAAUAUUGCACAAUGGGCGCAAGCCUGAUGCAGCCAUGCCGCGUGUAUGAAGAAGGCCUUCGGGUUGUAAAGUACUUUCAGUGAGGAGGCGUUACUCGCAGAAGAAGCACCGGCUAACUCCGUGCCAGCAGCCGCGGUAAUUC
rnacentral:rRNA from 1 species